AAGACCUUGCGCUUUUGGAGCGGCCGAUGUCUGAUUAGCUUGUUGGUGAGGUAAAAGCUUACCAAGGCUUCGAUCAGUAGCUGGUCUGAGAGGACGACCAGCCACACUGGGACUGAGACACGGCCCAGACUCCUACGGGAGGCAGCAGUGGGGAAUUUUGGACAAUGGGGGAAACCCUGAUCCAGCCAUGCCGCGUGAGUGAAGAAGGCCUUCGGGUUGUAAAGCUCUUUCAGCCGGAACGAAACGGUUACGGUUAAUACCCGUGACUACUGACGGUACCGGAAGAAGAAGCACCGGCUAACUACGUGCCAGCAGCCGCGGUAAUACGUAGGGUGCGAGCGUUAAUCGGAAUUACUGGGCGUAAAGCGUGCGCAGGUGGUUUUGUAAGUCAGAUGUGAAAUCCCCGGGCUUAACCUGGGAACU
rnacentral:rRNA from 1 species